rnacentral:tRNA from 1 species
GGGGCUGGGGCUCAGUGGUAGAGUGCUCGCCUAGUAUGUGGGAGGCCCUGGGUUCGAUCCUCAGCACCA